UGGGGAAUAUUGGACAAUGGGGGCAACCCUGAUCCAGCAAUGCCGCGUGUGUGAAGAAGGCCUGCGGGUUGUAAAGCACUUUCAAUUGGGAAGAAAAGCUUAAGGUUAAUACCCUUGAGUCUUGACGUUAUCUUUAGAAGAAGCACCGGCUAACUCCGUG
rnacentral:rRNA from 1 species